AAACCUCCACAGUACGAAAGAGAUUUUAUUAAAAUAAUAUAAAAAAAGUUACACCUAAGCAAAGAGUAGGGGCAUAAUAUCCAUCUUUUUCUUCUUAAAUAAAUAGUCAUUAUAUUAAUUUUUGCUUGUUAAAGUAUUGAAUUUUUGCCAUCCGGAUCCGGGUAUAAACAGAAACAGUCAUAGAACAAAAAAAUGAAGAAUCACAUAUGGAACCAGCUACUCAGGUUGAGUUGUAUGACAUGAACUUUUGAUCGAAACCGGCGGGUCUGUGAACGAACCGUGGACUAUUCGAUCUGCAAUCCAACGGUUCGCAGCCUCGGUG